rnacentral:rRNA from 1 species
UGGAAAGUAAAAAAACGUAACAAGGUUUCCGUAGGUGAACCUGCGGAAGGAUCAUUAUUGAAUUUUAAUGAAGAGUUUGGUUGUAGCUGGUCUAUUUAUUUAGGCAUGUGCACACCUCCCUCUUUCAUCCCACACACACCUGUGAACUUGUGAGACAGUUGGGGAAUUUAUUUGUUAUUUUUUGUAAUAAAAUGAUAAUAAGUCAUUGAACCCUUCUGUCUACUCAACUCAUAUAAAAUCAAUUUAUUUUAAAUGAAUGUAAUGGAUGUAACACAUCUCAUACUAAGUUUCAACAACGGAUCUCUUGGCUCUCGCAUCGAUGAAGAACGCAGCGAAAUGCGAUAAGUAAUGUGAAUUGCAGAAUUCAGUGAAUCAUCGAAUCUUUGAACGCACCUUGCGCUCCUUGGUAUUCCUUGGAGCAUGCCUGUUUGAGUAUCAUGAAAUCUUCAAAAUCAAUCUUUUUGUUAACUCAAUUAGUUUGAUUUUGGUAUUGGAGGUCUUUUGCAGCUUCACACCUGCUCCUCUUUGUGUAUUAGCUGGAUCUCAGUGUUAUGCUUGGUUCCACUCAGCGUGAUAAAUUAUCUAUCGCUGAGGACACUGUAAAAAGUGGCCAAGGUAAAUGCAGAUGAACCGCUUCUAAUAGUCCAUUGACUUGGACACUAUUAUUAUGAUCUGAUCUCAAAUCAGGUAGACACCCCCAA